AUUCAUGGUGUCCGUGUGCGCAGGAGUGUGUUGCUGUGUGUGUGGCGGAGAAAGAAAAUGAGAGUAACUCAAGAGACGUAGGAGCGGGCGUGUCUCACGUGACAGGCUGAUCGCUUUUUCGAUGACCACUGUUAAACGGGCCGCAUGCUGACACAGUAAACCCCACAGCAAGGACGACCAUUACAAAUCAGUCCCCAGCCCGUCCUCUUCUCCUCCUCCUGCCAAGACACCAUACCUGCCGCUCGCCCUGGCCAGCCGUCGCGCCCCUUAUGAAUCAAAGACACCGGAGCACAAAUAGACCGAGACAAGGACUUAUGAGCACUUCGCUCCGCCUCCCCUGCUGUCUUUUCUCUCUCUGUCUUUCUCUGUCCCUCUCUGUCUCCUGCAGUCUGUACAUUUGUCUCUCCCCUCUACUACAUCUAUCUGUCUAGCUGGGUCAGAUGAUAAAUCGGCAGGGCAGGACCUGCCCAGGUUACACUCUGUUCACAACAGCUAACAUACAUAGCGGAUCAACAUAUACAAGGAAACGUGCACGCCCAGCCCCUCCUCGGCCCCUCCGCCCAACCACAAACACAUCUCUCCGUCUUGAAUUGAGAUCCUUUAUUGGCACAACUAUUUACAAGAAAAACAAUAUUACAUGUAUGUCAUGUGGUUGUAUGGUGGCAACAAAACAACAUCAUAUCCUGAACAUUAACAUUGGAUAACUGGUUCCUUUUAGUUUUUUCUAUUUUGCACAUUUUGAAUGCUAAUUUCAAAUUCCUCACAUGAAGUUCCAAACGUAUACUUAAAUUAAUCAAUAAAACCUUAGACAUUCAA